rnacentral:tRNA from 1 species
GGGGUUGUGGCUCAGCAGUAGAGCGCUCACCUAGCACAUGAGAGGCCCUGGGUUCGAACCUCAGCUCCA